rnacentral:rRNA from 1 species
AACGAACGCUGGCGGCAUGCCUAACACAUGCAAGUCGAACGAUGCCUUCGGGCAUAGUGGCGCACGGGUGCGUAACGCGUGGGAAUCUGCCCUUGGCUUCGGAAUAACAGUUAGAAAUGACUGCUAAUACCGGAUGAUGUCCCCCUGAGAGAUCUUGGGGACCAAAGAUUUAUCGGCCAGGGAUGAGCCCGCGUAGGAUUAGGUAGUUGGUGGGGUAAAGGCCUACCAAGCCGACGAUCCUUAGCUGGUCUGAGAGGAUGAUCAGCCACACUGGGACUGAGACACGGCCCAGACUCCUACGGGAGGCAGCAGUGGGGAAUAUUGGACAAUGGGGGGAAUCCUGAUCCAGCAAGGACGCGUGAGUGAUGAAGGCCUUAGGGUUGUAAAGCUCGUUUACCAGGGAUGAUAAUGACAGUACCUGGAGAAUAAGCUCCGGCUAACUCCGUG